rnacentral:rRNA from 1 species
CCUGCCUUUUAGUUUGGGAUACCCAGAGGAAACUUUGGUUAAUACCGGAUAUGAGUUUUAGAGGCAUCUCUAGAAUUUGAAAGGAGCUUCGGCUCCGCUUUAAGAUGGACCUGCGGCGCAUUAGCUAGUUGGUGAGAUAACAGCCCACCAAGGCUUGGAUGCGUAGCCGAUCUGAGAGGAUGAACGGCCACAUUGGAACUGAGACACGGUCCAAACUCCUACGGGAGGCAGCAGUAAGGAAUUUUCGGCAAUGGGGGAAACCCUGACCGAGCAACGCCGCGUGAGUGAUGAAGGUCUUCGGAUCGUAAAGCUCUGUUGUUGGGGACGAACGAUACUCUUAGGAAAUGAAGAGUAUUUGACGGUACCCGAUUAGAAAGCCACGGCUAACUACGUGCCAGCAGCCGCGGUAAUACGUAGGUGGCAAGCGUUAUCCGGAAUUAUUGGGCGUAAAGAGUGAGCAGGCGGCAGUUUAAGUCUGGAGUGAAAGCGUGAGGCUCAACCUCAUACAGCUUCAGAAACUGAACAGCUAGAGUACGGGAGAAGUAAGUGGAACUCCAUGUGUAUCGGUGAAAUGCGUACAUAUAUGGAAUAACACCAGUGGCGAAGGCGACUUACUA